rnacentral:rRNA from 1 species
UACCCAGUUCGGAUUGUAGGCUGCAACUCGCCUACAUGAAGUCGGAGUUGCUAGUAAUCGCGGAUCAGAAUGCCGCGGUGAAUGCGCUCCCGGGUCUUGUACACACCGCCCGUCACACCAUGGAAGUUGGGGGCGCCCGAAGUUGGUCGAGGAAUAGAUUACCUAAGGCGAAACCAAUGACUGGGGUGAAGUCGUAACAAGGUAGC